UAUUGCUUGCUUGCUUGCUUUUUUUUGUGACAGGGUCUGGCUCUGUUGCCCAGGCUGGAGUGCAGUGGGGCAAUCACAGCUCACUACAGUCUUGACUUCUUGGGCUCAAGUGAUCCUCCCGUCUCAGCCUCCCAAGUAGCUGGAAUUAUAGGUAUGUGCCACCAUACCUGGCUAACUUUUGUAUUUUUUAUAGAGACGAAGUCUCACUGUGUUGCCCAGGCUGGUCUCAAAAUCCUGGCCUCAAGUGAUCUGCCUGCCUCAGCCUCCCAAAAUGCUGGGAUUACAGGUGUGAGCCACUGCACCCAGCCUCCCCACAUAUUUCUAAUAAUGUGUUUCAGUACUUUUUCUUGACUCUUUCCCCCUGUUUUAGACAUUAUCUAUUGCCUUCCUACUAAUGAAGUUUCCUUGUACAUGAAGAGGCACAGGGAAAUUCACCCUGAAGUUGGCUCCCUGGUGUAAUGAGUAUUUUGACUUAAAAAUUCUUCAAGAUAAAUAUACUGGAAGAGACUUCUCCCUGAUCUAGGUAAAGACCUGAUGGACCCACCAAGGAGAACUGUUGUCCCCCGCACCCCCUCUCGCUUCUCAAUCCUCUGUCUCUCCCCAAGCACAGGAUGAAGUUGUUGUCUGCAGUUCCUUUAUGUUGCGGGAAGUCAGGGACCCCGAAUGGAGGGACCGGCUGGAGCUGUGGCAGAGGAACAUAAAUUGUGAAGAUUUCAUGGACAUUUGUCAGUUCCCAAAUAAUACUCUUAUAAUUUCUUACACCUGUCUUACUUUAAUCUCUUAAUCCUGUUGUCUUCGUAAGCUGAGGAUGUACGUCACCUCAGGACCACUGUUGUGUUAACUGCACCAAUUGAUUGUAAAACAUGUGUGUUUGAACAAUAUGAAAUCAGUGCACCUUGAAAAAGAACAGAAUAACAGCGAUUUUCAGGGAACAAGGGAAGACAACCAUAAGGUCUGACUGCCUGUGGGGUCGGGCAAAAUAGAGCCAUAUUUUUCUUCUUGCAGAGAGCCUAUAAAUGGAUGUGCAAGUAGGGAAGAUAUUGCUAAAAUCUUUUCCUAACAAGGAUUAAUACUCUGGGAAAGAAAUGCAUUCCUGGGGGAAGGUCUAUAAAUGGCCGCUCUGAGAAUGUCUGUCUUAUGCAGUUGAGAUAAGGACUGAAAUACGUCCUGGUCUCCUGCAGCACCCUCAGCCUUACUAGGGUGGGGGGAAACCCCGCCCUGGUAAAUUUGAGGUCAGACCAGUUCUCUGCUCUCGAACCCUGUUUUCUGUUGUUUAAGAUGUUUAUCAAGACAAUACGUGCACUGCUGAACAUAGACCCUUAUCAGUAAUUUUGCUUUUGCUCUUUGCCUUGUGAUCUUUGCUUUUGCCUUUUGCUUUGUGAUCUUUGUUCUCCUUUUUGCCCUUUGAAGCAUGUGAUCUUUGUGACCUACUCCCUGUUCUUGCACCCCCUCCGCUUUUGAAAUCCUUAAUAAAACUUGCUGGCUUUAAGGCUCAAGUGGGCAUCACGGUCCUACCGAUAUGUGAUGUCACCCCCGGAGGCCCAGCUGUAAAAUUCCUCUCUUUGUACUCUUUCUCUUUAUUUCUCAGCUGGCCGACACUUAUGGAAAAUAGAAAGAACCUAUGUUGAAAUAUUGGGAGCUGGUUCCCCCGAUACCUUUACCUGCCUAAACUCCGAACCCACCAAAGAAUAAAGCAAUGAUCUUUGGUCUCCUCCCUGGGUUUUCAUUCACUGAACUCAUAUUGCAAGAACAAAGCCUGAAGUCCGCCAACACACCUGGACAGACUUGUCAUGAACCAUUGUCUGCUCUUCAGGCCCUACAGAAUUUGUCCCAGGCCAUUGUAUGUUCUUCAAAUCCUGUAUUCCAGGGUUCUCCAGCCCCUGGACCAUGGACUGGUACUGGUCCAUGGCUUGUUAGGAACUGGGCCAGACAGCAGGAGGUGAGUGGUGCGCGAGCCAGCAAAGCUUCAUCUGUAUUUACAGCUGCUCCUCGUUGCUCACGUUACUGCCUGAGCUCUGCCUCCUGUCGGGUCAGCAGUGGCAUUAGAUUCUCAUAGGAGCAUGAGCCCUAUUGUGAACUGCGCAUAUGAGGGAUCUAGGCUGUGUACUCCUUAUGAGAAUCUAAUGCCUGAUGAUCUGUCACUGUCUCCCAUCUCCCCCAUAUAGGACCAUCUAGUUGCAAGAAAACAAGCUCAGGGCUCCUACAUGAUGAGCUUCGCUUCCAGCAGUCGCUGUGAUAGAGACUUUGAGCUACGUGGAGAUCCGUGUGGAGCUGGAAGUGAAGAUGAUGGCGUCCAAUCCACCUCCAAGGCUUAAAAAGUUGUGCAGCGCCCAACGGACACCACAUUCCAUUGGGAAGUGAUUAUGGUAGUAUGGUAGUUUAAGAAUGAAACAAAAUAUUUUUAAUUUAUGGGGAUCAUUUUUUGAAUGUCUACUAAGUUGUUAGAAUAUGAAUACUUCAGUUGUUUGUACUUAACUGUCUAAUACAUGGAACCUCUAUCUAUUUCUUUUGGCCUAGGAGGGCCGUGAAAAAAUUAGGGGGACACUCAAGGUGUUGUCACUGGAGACAGUUUGGGAGCCCCUGGAUUAUGAU
rnacentral:lncRNA from 1 species